rnacentral:lncRNA from 1 species
UAUCUCGUCAGGACAAAUAACUGAAGGCUCAUCCUUGCAACACUCAAGUUAACUAAAUUUCAUAAACAUCAUCUGAAAUAUCGCCUGGUUGUACAACUAUUGAGUCACUAGUUUUUUGAGACAAAUUCUAAUGUAACCCAGGCUGGCCUUGAACUAUGUGUAGUUAGAAUGACUUGGCACUUCUAAUUCUUUGGCCUCUAGCUCCUAAGUACUGAAAUUACUGGCUUGCGCCACCAUGCAUAGUGUUAUGUAACUUUAAAUGAAAGAGAAAUCGUGUGUAACAUUACCUCCUAUACACGUAUUUUUAAAGAUCUACAUGAUGCCCAAUGUACCAUAUAUUACAAACUAUGUAGUAUAUCAUAAAACCAUACAUUUCACACAUGCAUGGUGCUAGGCAUGAUGGCUCAUGCUUGUAAUUCUGUUGCUCAAUAAAUAAGAGAUCCAGAGACUGAUAUGGGGAUUCAGGCUUCAAGCUGAGUAUCAGAAAAGCAAAGCAGCUGGGCACUAGCUCUCACUCUACCUCAGAGUGAAAUGGCCCAUCCAAGAGUUCUACCAAACCUCAGACUGAACCCUCUCCUCAGUGCGGCUGGAGAAUCCUGGGACCUCAAUGUCUUCCUAUCUGCCAUGUGGCUGGAGAAUGAAUGCCUCAUACUGAAUGUUGAAGACCCUGCUCCUAUCUUAUAUACCUCCCUAAUGCUGGGAUUAAAGGUCUGUAAACGCUGUUCCAAAUAAUAGCAGCAGUUAAGGUGGACUGGAAGACUGACAUCUGGGUGCUGAGAUCUCAGACACAUGAAGAGAGGUGGCAGCUGUUGACAGCAACAAGAAGGGGAAAGUGUGACCCAGCCGGGUGGCCUGAGUUCCAACGGAAAGGGAAUUUUCACCAGAGGAAAGAGACUUCACAUCUGGAAGUACCAAAAUGGAGUGGGUGGUGAGUGUAGAGUUUGAGCUGAGAGCUGACUGGAAAGGGAUUUCUGGCAGAGGACUUAGACAACCACGGAACGACUUUUGGAAGAAGAAGGUGCUCAUGUUGCCUAACACUGCCGUCUGAAAGGUUUUUGUUUUUUAAACAAUAAAUAACUUUGGGGGAAGGUAUUUUUAUUGUAA